GAGAGAAGAGAAGAGAAGAGAAGAGAAGAGAAGAGAGAGAGAAGAGAGAGAGAGAGAGAGAGAGAACUCAAGUGUGACAACCAUAAACACAUUGUUCUUGCUAUUGAAUGAAGGAGUCAAAGUGGAAGUUUAGAAGGAUCAAUGCUCCCAAAGGAUGGUCUCAAAUCCUUGAACUGAAGUAAGAACAGAAGUGUUUACUGCAAGGUCGCUGUUGUGAAACGUCUUGUGGCUGGGAGCCUUCACAGGGGGUCUUCUCAUGGAGAUGCCGUGUAAGGCAGAGAAAGGGGACAGCGUUGUUCCGAGACUUUCCACUACUGUUUCAUGCGAGGGAUAGACUACUGAUGGCACAGAGAAUCAACAGAUCACUAUAAAGAAGGUUGCAGACUAUUACUGUGGGAAAAAUGGACCAAAGAAGCUUGCUUAUCUAUGUAAGUUAGGAUUGUUCAUGGCUAAUAUUGUAUAGAAAUGGUGCUAGCAGACCCUGUGUGUACCCCAAAGGCUAUGCCAAAUAUCCAUGACACCACGCUUACUUCAGAAUCAUUGAAUGGGAAGAAGACGAAGAAUAUCCAUACUCAUUCUCUGGACUUACUGUGUUCUCUGUCAAUAAGGUUGGUGAACCAGCACACCAGGCUAGAUGCCAUAUCCUAGCUAGACAAACCUUAAUGGCAUAAUGGAGAGUCAAUGCAUCCUCCCUGCCAAAAGCACGCUUAUUAGUGAAAUAGGUAGGAAUUCCAACUGAUAAUGCCAACUCAUUGGAGCAAGUGGUUUCUCAAUUGAUCAAAUAUUUAGCAACCUCAAAAUACGUCAUCCAUAAUAUAAAUUAUGGUGAUGUGCCAUAACCAAGCUUUUAGAGGUCUAAAAAUACUGCGUAGAACUUAGUGGAAAUGCUUUACACACUAAAAGAGCAGAAUGAAACGGUUUCCAUCUGCACGGCACUGCCCAGCUCACCUGUCUUCUAGACACAGGGUGAGGACUGGGGACAGCUACAGAGAACGGGACAGUUACUGCCUGAAGACCAGUGUGAAGAAUAGAACUAAACUCAAUUCUGCUUAGCCACUCGGGUGUGGUCAUGCGUGUCUCUAGCUCCAGCUUUUGGAAAGUGGAAGCAGGAGGAUCGUAAGUCCAAGGCGAGAGGAAUCUAGGCACAAGGUGACAGUCGCACUCAGGCUCAAGGAGGAUGAGAACAAGAGGUAGCAGACACCCACCUUUUCCAUUUAGGUUUGCCCUCUUCCUGUCCCCAUUUUGAAGGAACUGUCUCUCCUCCUAUUUUCAACCUAUGUGAUUCAGAUGAACACCACUUAGGGUUCAAAAGCAAGCAGAGGCACAAGUCUGGCUACCUCAUGUCUUUGGUUAUGGCUAGUGACAAAGGACAGACAUGUGGCAUAAGCCAGCCAACACAAACGAUCAUACUCAGCCUCAGAAUCCUUGUAACACUAUCGGGGACAUUUUUUAAAAAUUAGGAAACUAGCCCUAAGGACAACAUGAGCAGAGACCUGAAUUCUUUUACUAAGGACAAACAACUGCAAAGACAGAUUCCCCCACAACAGGACAGAGCAUCUAACAGACAUGUCUGAAGCCUCUCUCCCCACGUCACAAGGCAACCUUCUAACUUCAUCUUUUUAAAAAGCUUAAACCAUGUGCUUUACCCAACUCUAUAACUCCAGCUCCUCCCCUCAAAUGCACCCAAAAUAUUAACCUUAAAAGAGUCAUAUACUUUGUAUAUUUAUUUUG
ensembl:lincRNA Gm26744 predicted gene, 26744